rnacentral:rRNA from 1 species
AGCGAACGCUGGCGGCAGGCCUAACACAUGCAAGUCGAACGAAGUCUUCGGACUUAGUGGCGGACGGGUGAGUAACACGUGGGAACGUACCUUUUGGUCCGGAACAGCUCAGGGAAACUUUAGCUAAUACCGGAUGAGCCCUUAGGGGGAAAGAUUUAUCGCCGAAAGAGCGGCCCGCGUUAGAUUAGCUAGUUGGGGAGGUAAAGGCUCACCAAGGCUACGAUCUAUAGCUGGUCUGAGAGGAUGAUCAGCCACACUGGGACUGAGACACGGCCCAGACUCCUACGGGAGGCAGCAGUGGGGAAUCUUGCGCAAUGGGCGAAAGCCUGACGCAGCCAUGCCGCGUGAAUGAUGAAGGUCUUAGGAUUGUAAAAUUCUUUUACCAGGGACGAUAAUGACGGUACCUGGAGAAAAAGCCCCGGCUAACUUCGUGCCAGCCGCCGCGGUAACAC